UUAUAUUUUACACUCAAUACUUUAAAAUAUGACUAAAAAGGUAGCAUUAUGCAUCUAAAAUGUGGAAAGAAGUCAGAGAAUAUUGUUUUUUCAUUUUAUAUGACUUAACAUUAUUUGCACCAGCUGACCGCAGUCAAUUAUAGUGUCUACAGACUUUGCGGUAAAGGGUGUUAAAGCUGAUUUUUCAAGAAUAGACUAAUUCUAGGUUUGCGAAUGAAUUUUUAGCAUAAGCGACAACUGCGAUAAAAUGUAAACAAGUAAAAAUGUUUUCACAGAAUGAUAAUUUCUACAGAAACAUGAUUUAUUUUAAUUUAUUCAGACCUCCAGUGAUACAUACAUUACUGCAUUGGAAGAACAGAAAUAAUGAAAUGAGUCAGAUCUGUCUAAUAAACUUAAUACAUAAGCUACAUUAGUAAAAUUCAUUAAGAAUUUAUCAAAGUAAGGAAGGUUAUGACCAAAAAAUCCUGAAAUACUGUCAAGGUCUGCAUGAUAAUACUUAUUCUGAGUUCUAACCAUGCAUCAUACAUGUAGUGCAGAAUGUCACUUAGCAGCAUGGCAUGCCUUUUGUGGUUCUAAGGACUUUAUUUAUGCUUUCGCAGCUGACAUUCAUGUUUUUUCAGUUUGUCGGAGACUGUUUUUUGUUAUUUUUUCAUUUAUAUGUAGGUGUUGACUGUCACUUUUGAAUUAACUCUCAGUCAGUGAUGCUUAUAUGAGCAUGAUCUACUAAGUAUAUCAUUGUACUGAAAUAUUAAUAAAUUCCAAAUUGAACUGAUGAAGAAAUUUGGCAUAUUUACAUAAUUGAAAUAUCAGAAUAACUAUAAUUCAGCUAAUAAGGUGCACAUUUCUUCUCAGAUCACUUCCUAUAAAUUUUAUCAACAGUUUUGGUACACCCACCCACCUCAAAGAAUCAUGGAGGAUGUCCUGAAUCUGGUUCUUAUCAUCAAAGCCAGUUUAAUGGAGUGUGGGAGCUGUGAAGAACCUCCCUAGAUGCUGAUAUCAUUUUGACUGCCCUGAGUUACAACACAGCAUUUAGAUAAACUUCUGCACAGCAGCUUGUAGACACAUACCUGGGCUUUAUUUGGAACAUAAAUUGACCAGAUACAGUGUUCAUUAUCAACCCAGUAUUUAACAAUUUCUGUAUUUUUGUUCAUUCUUUGAAGGGGAAAAUGCAACUUUGUUAUGUAAUAAUUACAUAAUGGUCUUAGACUUGUAAACUCUUUUCUGUUUGUGGUGAAGAACAAAGCAUAUACUCUCCACGGAUAAAAAAUUGGUUGCCAAGCUUAUUCUUUUAAUGGUGAAAUUCUGCUUCAAAAGAUGCACAAAAAACUG